rnacentral:lncRNA from 1 species
ACACACAAACAACCAUAUAUAUUUAUACAUAUUUUGAUACAAUUAUAUACUUACCUAUCAAGCAUAAACUUCAAUUUCGAGUGAUUUGUAUAAUCAUGACGUACUAAAUCAAAUAAUAAACUUUUUCUAAUGUGGUAAUAAUUACAAUCAAUACUCAAUGCGUCCUAAGAAAAAUUUCAAUAAGCAAAUCAAUUACAAAAAGAGAAAAUAAUAUAACCUAAAUUAAUUUCGAAAGAAAAUCUAACACAUAAUUAUAUGAUAAAACAAACAACUUAUCCAUAUGAUCUUUUUUGUCCAUCAAUACAUCAACUAUAUAAUCUUUGACUCGAGAUGGAUCAUUUUCAAACUUGGAUAUCUGACGGGGAGAUAUGAAGAAGAAUUUGUUGAUCAAUUGAUGCGGGCGCACCAAUUUUUCAUACAAGAACCUUGUACGAAAAUAUAGCAUCAUUGAUUCACUGAUAAAAAAACUAAUUCAUUCAUCUAAAGUUAUUUGGAAUACCAUAUAUAUAUGGAGAUAACAGAUACACCUAUUUCUUGACGUGAGUGAGUCGUUCGCCUUAACAGCAUUACCAUUAUCUUUGGAUUUUAUAGGAGUCUAAAAAUGGUUUAAAAAAAUAGAAAUUUCAAGACAAAAUAAAAAGCAAUAUAUUGAUAGUGAUUGAAAUAGUAAGAAGAAUAUAGACAGUAUAUAUAUAUAUAGAUAUAUGAAAAAUAUGGCUUUUAACAUACCUCAGCGUCUAGAGAAAUAAAGUUUAUUGGCCAUGCCACAUGUCAUCAUAUGGCCUCUCCACCAACCUUGCAUCUCCAACUUCAAGAAGUAUAGGCGGCAAUGGAGCAUCCAAAUCUAAAGAAAUAUCAAUUAAUAGUAGAUAGUGGUUUAUGAUGUAUUAUGCCUUCCAAAAUGAAUAUUGUACACCUUUCCCUUAUCAAUCAUCCUUAUCAAUCAUGCGAUAAGUAUGAGAUGAAAAAUAUGAUACUAAAGACGAGAUAUCCUAAAUCAAUAAUCAAUAUAAAAUUAUUAAUAAACUUUUUAAUUAGCAUUAACAUCAAUUAAUUAGAUAGAUUAUAGUACUUUAAUUCAUUAAUUACCUCGGAAACGUUCUUUGAAACAAUAAGAUUGGAACUAACUUUGUCGCUAGGGGUAUGCAUAUUUUGUGGAAAGCUUUAUGACAAAUUUUUUACAAUAUCCUUCAUUCGCAACUAACGAACUUCAGCAAUUAGCUCUAGUAUCAUAACAAAUAACUAUGUAUUACUUGGAUUUUUUUUUUCUUUUGAUGUUGAUAAUAAUCUUUUGGAUUGACUUCAAAACUCUUACCCCUCACACAACUAGAAUACUCAAAAACAUUUAAUAUUUUACUAAGUAUGUCCCUACAACUGGUGUCUUGUGUCUCUCGUUGAGAUAAAGUUUCCUAAUUAAUAUAUAUUAAUACGAAAAAGAUUAAUUUAUCGUGAACACUUUCGCAAGAUAUUAAAAAACAAAUAAAUAGUGUUAUUAUAUACUUACACAUUGUUCAUAUAUUUGUUGAACACCUUUGUUAUCGACUAC